UGGGGAAUAUUGCGCAAUGGGGGGAACCCUGACGCAGCGACGCCGCGUGAAGGAUGAAGGUUUUCGGAUCGUAAACUUCUUUGAUUGGUGAAGAAAGAAAUGACGGUAGCCAAAGAACAAGCCACGGCUAACUACGUGCCAGCAGCCGCGGUAACACGUAGGUGGCAAGCGUUGUCCGGAAUUACUGGGUGUAAAGGGCGUGUAGGCGGGAUAGCAAGUCAGAUGUGAAAGCCCAUGGCUCAACUGUGGGACUGCAACUGAAACUGUUAUUCUUGAGUACUGGAGAGGAAAGCGGAAUUCCACGUGUAGCGGUGAAAUGCGUAGAGAUGUGGAGGAACACCAGUGGCGAAGGCGGCUUUCUGGACAGUAACUGACGCUGAGGCGCGAAAGCGUGGGGAGCGAACAGGAUUAGAUACCCCCGUAGUCC
rnacentral:rRNA from 1 species